rnacentral:piRNA from 1 species
UGUUUCUGGGAGAGCGCGCGCCUGAUGG